AUGAACGCUAGCUACAGGCUUAACACAUGCAAGUCGAGGGGCAGCAUGGUCUUAGCUUGCUAAGGCCGAUGGCGACCGGCGCACGGGUGAGUAACACGUAUCCAACCUGCCGUCUACUCUUGGACAGCCUUCUGAAAGGAAGAUUAAUACAAGAUGGCAUCAUGAGUCCGCAUGUUCACAUGAUUAAAGGUAUUCCGGUAGACGAUGGGGAUGCGUUCCAUUAGAUAGUAGGCGGGGUAACGGCCCACCUAGUCUUCGAUGGAUAGGGGUUCUGAGAGGAAGGUCCCCCACAUUGGAACUGAGACACGGUCCAAACUCCUACGGGAGGCAGCAGUGAGGAAUAUUGGUCAAUGGGCGAGAGCCUGAACCAGCCAAGUAGCGUGAAGGAUGACUGCCCUAUGGGUUGUAAACUUCUUUUAUAAAGGAAUAAAGUCGGGUAUGUAUACCCGUUUGCAUGUACUUUAUGAAUAAGGAUCGGCUAACUCCGUGCCAGCAGCCGCGGUAAUACGGAGGAUCCGAGCGUUAUCCGGAUUUAUUGGGUUUAAAGGGAGCGUAGAUGGAUGUUUAAGUCAGUUGUGAAAGUUUGCGGCUCAACCGUAAAAUUGCAGUUGAUACUGGAUAUCUUGAGUGCAGUUGAGGCAGGCGGAAUUCGUGGUGUAGCGGUGAAAUGCUUAGAUAUCACGAAGAACUCCGAUUGCGAAGGCAGCCUGCUAAGCUGCAACUGACAUUGAGGCUCGAAAGUGUGGGUAUCAAACAGGAUUAGAUACCCUGGUAGUCCACACGGUAAACGAUGAAUACUCGCUGUUUGCGAUAUACUGCAAGCGGCCAAGCGAAAGCGUUAAGUAGGCCACCUGGGGAGUACGCCGGCAACGGUGAAACUCAAAGGAAUUGACGGGGGCCCGCACAAGCAGUGGAGUAUGUGGUUUAAUUCGACGCAACGCGAAGAACCUUACCAAGUCUUGACAUCCCUUGACGAUGCUGGAAACAGUAUUUCUCUUCGGAGCAAGGAGACAGGUGGUGCAUGGUUGUCGUCAGCUCGUGCCGUGAGGUGUCGGCUUAAGUGCCAUAACGAGCGCAACCCUUGUUGUCAGUUACUAACAGGUUUUGCUGAGGACUCUGACAAGACUGCCAUCGUAAGAUGUGAGGAAGGUGGGGAUGACGUCAAAUCAGCACGGCCCUUACGUCCGGGGCUACACACGUGUUACAAUGGGGGGUACAGAGGGCCGCUACCACGCGAGUGGAUGCCAAUCCCCAAAACCUCUCUCAGUUCGGACUGGAGUCUGCAACCCGACUCCACGAAGCUGGAUUCGCUAGUAAUCGCGCAUCAGCCACGGCGCGGUGAAUACGUUCCCGGGCCUUGUACACACCGCCCGUCACACCAUGAGAGCCGGGGGGACCCGAAGUCGGUAGUCUAACCGCAAGGAGGACGCCGCCGAAGGUAAAACUGGUGAUUGGGGUG
rnacentral:rRNA from 1 species